rnacentral:rRNA from 1 species
GACGAACGCUGGCGGCGUGCCUAAUACACGCAAGUCGAGCGCAGGAAAUCGACGGAACCCUUCGGGGGGAAGUCGACGGAAUGAGCGGCGGACGGGUGAGUAACACGUAAAGAACCUGCCCUCAGGUCUGGGAUAACCACGAGAAAUCGGGGCUAAUACCGGAUGGGUCAUCGGACCGCAUGGUCCGAGGAUGAAAGGCGCUUCGGCGUCGCCUGGGGAUGGCUUUGCGGUGCAUUAGCUAGUUGGGGGGGUAAUGGCCCACCAAGGCGACGAUGCAUAGCCGAACUGAGAUGGUGAUCGGCCACACGGGGACUGAGACACGGCCCAGACUCCUACGGGAGGCAGCAGUAGGGAAUCUUCCACAAUGGACGAAAGUCGGAUGGAGCAACGCCGCGUGAACGAUGAAGGCCUUCGGGUCGGAAAGUUCUGUUGUAAGGGAAGAACAAGUGCCGCAGGCAAUGGCGGCACCUUGACGGUACCUUGCGAGAAUGCCACGGCUAACUACGUGCCAGCCGCCGCAGUAAAAC